UAAGUACUAUUAGAUGGUUGCAUUUGCUCAUUUAGAGUAGAUGAGGAAAGUCCGGACUUCGUGUCAGUCUCGAACAUAUCGAGAUAAGUGCCAACGAGAGUUGGGAGGGAGUGAUCUUUCGGAGAAAAGGGCAACAGAAAGAUACCGCCUAGUUUACUAGGUAAGGGUGAAAUGGUGGUGUAAGAGACCACCGGAUAGACAGUAAUGUUCUAUUGCUGGUAACCCCCACUUGAAGCAAGGUUAAACCGCAUAGAUAGAUAACCAUCGUUAUACAGAAUCCGGCUUAUUAUGUGCUUAUACA
rnacentral:RNase_P_RNA from 1 species